UGCUUUCUGGCCUCCAGUUGGAGUCCAUCUCUGGCAAGUGCUGGCAAGAAAGGGAUUGGAGGGUCAUAGGAGAAACAGAUGAAGAUCCUGAAUACCAAAGAGGGCCGCUGACAGGUCUAGGAGUACACUUCUAGCACCUAGCAGAGAGAGGCUUCACUACAUCAUGCUUCCUGACAUCUCUCCCUUUGAAGAGCAGUCAGACUCCUGCUUUGCUCUUCAGACUUAAUUUGGGGGUUUAACAGCCAUGUGAAGUGCUCACUCCCCCUUUGCCUUCUGCCAUGAUUGUGUGUUUCCUGAGGCCUCCCCAGAAGCUGAGAAGAUGCUUCCUGUACAGCCUGCAGAACUGUUUGAAUGAGAGAGGCAGAAGCACAUUUCCAAUCACUGGGGGAACCUGAGACCAUUCUUUCCAACCCAUUUUGCCAAAUGGAUGUCCUGAGGAAGGUGUUCCAAGAGAGGCGAUGUCAGGAUAGUGUCUGAUUGGAGGGUGCCCAAGGCACAUGGGAGAAUGUGGAAGAACUGGAAAGACUUGGGUGUUGCUGAUGUUAAAUUACUUAGGUAUCUCUGUAGAAACUUAGUGGGUCAUUCCUUCUCUUCACAAUCCCUUUCUUAAAUUUAUGAUAAACGUGAAAGGUAAUCAAAACAAAAGCAGGGCAAAAUGGGAAAAUAAGUUCCCACUUUAACUUUUUCUGGAUUAUUUAAAGGUCUACUGGGGCAAAUGUGAUGAAAAUUAAAAAAAAAAUUGCAGAUCAUCAGUGUUUAAAAGCAAAUGCUUUCUGAAAAUUAUAGCUUGUAUGUUAACAUGAUUUGUUGAAAUCUGUUUUU
rnacentral:lncRNA from 10 species